AAUAGCAAUGGUAUGCACAUGGAUAGCACACCUCCAUUAUACACAAGUAAUAACAGCGUGAUUUAAAAAAAAUACACAAUACAUGCACGCAGUCAAAUAUUUAUGCAUUCAUUCAUAUAUUCAAAUACAUACAUUUAGUAUGUAUACAUUGCCAAGAUCCACGAGUCUACAACACCGUCGUGUCACCGUUGCCAUCGUCACUGUCAUCGCAUGUAGAGGUUGUCCUUGUUGUAGCCUCGUGUGGAUGUCGUCGUCGUCGUUACCACUACAGCCCCGUGUCAAUUGUCGCCGCAAGUCGUCAUCGCAGCCACAGCCCCGUGUUGAUGUCGCCGUCGUUUGUCACCGCCACAUCCCCGUGCGAUGUUGGUGUCGUCGUCGCCACCGCCGCCACCGUCGCCGCCACCGCAACAACUUACUUCCAAUGUAAAUGAUGAAUUAGCUAUUAGCUAAAAUAUAGAUUGAGACUAUGAGGCAUUUCAUCGAAUUAUAAGGAAAAGUCAAAACAUUUCAACAGAGAUGCUUAGUUAACAUUUCAACAGAGAACAAAGAUAGAUUCAUAUCAACACCAUUACCGAGAACACUCCUACUGUUGACAAGAAUUUUCAUAAGCAUUGCCACACUUACCAUUUGCAGUACCUAACUGAGGGAAAAAUAAAGUAGACUAAGGUCAGCAAUGGCAUCCACUACAAUGAAGCUCCUGGUUCAUCUAUUUUUUUUACCAGGGGUGCUUAAUGCAAGGAGACUGAUACUUAGUACUCAGUCUAGCACUUGUAGCUAACCUGCAGCAGCUUUAGAAUUUCUGCCGUGACGAUUGUGCUGAAUGAACCUUACUCCGGCCAAGCCCAUGCUGUCGACGGCGAUGGCGGAGCAGCAGCUGGGCGGCACUCCGUCGCAAUCUGCAGUCAGCCCUGAUGGCGAGGGCACCGUGGAACAUGUUGAUGGCGAUGCCAAACAUGUCUUCUUACAAAUUUCAAAGAUACAAGCAAAUCAGUAGAUAGAAGUUCAGACUGCACAAAGCAUGCAUUGUCCAUGUGUAUUAAAAUGACAACAUGUAGUAUAGCAGCAGAAAUUUACUAUGAUGCUAACUCUAUAUUUAACAUGCAUCUGUCAGUAGUGAAAACCCAGCUUAAAUUAUAUUUCUGGCUCAGCGUAAUUUUGUACAGAUGUACAAUAUUUUGAUUCGGUGAUUCCUAAACAAAAUAUUGUACUGCUGCUACUUCUACUUCAGUACAUGCAGCCGUGCAGGAUGAGCAAGACAUGCACGAUAUUACCUUCUUUUCUUUCCUUCAUUUUCCCUUUUAUCCAUGGCAGGCUCGGCGAGUCCAGUAAUUCUGAAGGCACAUUAUUCAGAGAUCGCAGGUAGUCAUAUUUGUUAACUAAG
rnacentral:lncRNA from 1 species